AACUUUUGGCAAUGGAUCACUUGGUUCUCGCAUCGAUGAAGAACGCAGCGAAACGCGAUAGGUAAUGUGAAUUGCAGAAUUCAGUGAAUCAUCGAAUCUUUGAACGCACAUUGCGCCUUUUGGUAUUCCGAGAGGCACGUCUGUUUGAGCGUCAGUACGCACCUCUGCAUCGGCUUUGCUGUCGACUGCGGGUCAUGGGGGUUUGGGCCGCGAGGCCUCCCCUUAAUGCGCACGCUUGCGGGCUUCCACAGAAUGUCAACGUAGUAAACUAAACGCUCGAUGAUUGACUGGGACAGCUGCGCCUGAAUUCAAAUCUAAGGUUUGACCUCAGAUCAGACGAGGAUACCCGCUGAACUUAAGCAUAUCAAUAAGCGGAGGCU
rnacentral:misc_RNA from 1 species